CCUACGGGGGGCAGCAGUGAGGAAUAUUGGUCAAUGGUCGGGAGACUGAACCAGCCAAGCCGCGUGAGGGAGGAAGGUACAGCGUAUCGUAAACCUCUUUUGUCAGGGAACAAAGACUGGGACGCGUCCCCGGAUGAGUGUACCUGAAGAAAAAGCAUCGGCUAACUCCGUGCCAGCAGCCGCGGUAAUACGGAGGAUGCGAGCGUUAUCCGGAUUUAUUGGGUUUAAAGGGUGCGCGGGCGGUCUGUCAAGUCAGCGGUAAAAGCCCGGGGCUCAACCCCGGCCGGCCGUUGAAACUGGCAGUCUCGAGUGGGAGAGAAGGAUGCGGAAUGCGCGGUGUAGCGGUGAAAUGCAUAGAUAUCACGCAGAACUACGAGUGCGAAGGCAGCAUGCCGGCUCGCAACUGACGCUGAGGCACGAAAGCGUGGGUAUCGAACAGGAUUAGAUACCCUGGUAGUC
rnacentral:rRNA from 1 species